CCCGGGAGGCGGUGGUUGCAGUGAGCCGAGAUCGCGCCAUUGCACUCCAGUCCAGCCUGGCUACAGAGCAAGACUCCGUCUCAAAACAGAAAAGUUUUAUGGGGAGCGACAAGGAAGGAACUGUCAGCCCGACUGGGGUCGCAGGGAAGAAUUCAAGAUGGAGUGUUUAGGAGAUAGCCUUGACAAAUUAGUAAAAUGUUAGUCUUAGGAGAAGAACUAAAAGACUCUCCUAGGCUAAGAAACAGCAUACACAGUGAAAAACCUCAGAAGAGAGAAAAUUCAGGAAGAGAGCAACACCGAAAACAUCAGAAGGAACACUAAAGAAUCUUCCAGAAAAGGAAAGGCAAAGGUAUAGCCUGUCGCAAAGAUGACAGCAUCAAUGUCAUCCUCCCUGGAGCCAUCCUCAAAUAUGGCAGCUGUCUCUGUGAAUUCCUUCACGUUUCCUUUCACUUUCACCAGGCCGGAGAUGAUACGAUUUGGCAGGUCAUCAUUUACGGUUGGAUGCUGACUCAGAGCUCUGUGAGUGGUGGUAAAGAUCAAGUGAAGGAGAAAUGAGAGAGAGAAAUCAGUACCAUAUCAAGAUCAGAGCUGAAGUUGGACCCUGGAUGGCACUGAAAGGGAGAGUGUUGGAGGUGUGAAGGAAGAAGAGGCUUGUCUGAGGAGUGCAUGUAUGAUUUCUCAAGUUACAGUAAUGUUCUGUACAUGAUAUGAUAAGGCCACAGGCCAAUAGUUUCUAUACUCAUAUCAAGAAGCCUGACAGAAGUAAACUGUCAACAUUCUGUUCAGUCUCAUUUCCAGUUUCAAAGGCUCAAGAGGUAGGUUUAGGCCACUAUUUUCCAAAAUGUAUAACAAAUUAUGUGUUAUGUAGCAAUUGACACUUUAUAAGUUGCUUUUACAUGCAUUAACUUAUUUGACUCUCUCAAAACUCUAUGAAGGAAGUAGAAUAGGUGUCAUCCAGGUUUUAUAAAUGAGGAAAUUGAGGUCUAGAAAAGUUACAUGACUUGUCCAAUGUUACACAGCCUAGGAUUUUAGAAUUUAUCUCAAAGUUGUUUUCAAUGAAUUAUCUUGGGGGUACUUUCGGCCUGUUACUGUUUCCUAGGGACAGCACAGGACACACAAUAACAUAGUGUUGGC